AUGGCGGCCACGGCGGCCGCAGCCGCAGUGCGCCCGUCUCUCCCCAUCACGCCUCCGCGGCGCGAGCGCAGCGCCGCCUUCUGCUCGCUUGCGCCGGCGACCAGCGCGCCGUCCACACGCUUGCCGCCGUCCUCUGUUCCCUUGCAGAGAUGGCGCUGCACCGCCGUCACCCAUCCCCGGAGCCGCCGGCUCCACGGGCCGCGCUGCAGCCAGGCCGAAGUGGCGAGCAGCACCGUGGACGACGACGAGGCGUGCGAGCUGGUGAGGGGCACGGACGUCGUCAUCGGGCAGGGCGACGACGAGAGCGUCCGCGCCUACCUCCUCGAGGCCGUCAAGAACAACAACGGCACCUGCGUCCUCUUCCUCUCCGACGUCUUCGGCUUCGAGGACUCCGCCACCCGGGACUUCGCCUACCGCAUCGCGUGCCACGGCUACAACGUUCUGGUGCCGGACUUGUUCCGCGGGAACCCGUGGAAGAAGAGCCUGCCGAUGGACGGGUUCCAGGCGUGGCUCGCCGAGCAGGCCCCGGAGAGGGUGGCCGGCGACAUCGACACGUGCAGGAAAUGGCUGGUGGACGACUUCCUGGCGGCCGCGCCGUCCAAGAAGCUGGGCGUGGUCGGGUUCUGCUACGGGGGCGGCCGCCUCGUGGAGACGCUGGCGCGCGACGCGGACGCCGCCUGCUUCAGCGCGGGCGUCUGCUUCUACGGGUCCCGGAUGGACGCGUCGCUCGGGGCACAGAUCGCGGCGCCGGUGCUGUUCGUGUGCGGCGACGGCGACCUGCUGUGCCCCGUGGAGACGGUGCGGGAGCUGGAGAGGAGCGCGAGGGGCGCCAAGGCGGCCGUGUACGCCGGCAGGGGCCACGGGUUCGCGCACCGGCCGGAGUCGCUGGAGGACGACGGCGACGCCGAGGAGGCGUUCGCGAUGAUGAAGAGCUGGUUGCACGACCACCUGCUUGCUUGA
rnacentral:rRNA from 1 species